AGUUUUGUUGUUUUACUACAUUUGAUCAUAGUUAAUAAGACGUCCUACCCUAGACAAAUGUUGCAAGUAACCAGCGACCAGCUUACGAAGUAUUUCAAUAUUCAAUAGCUCCGUGACGGUUUGAAAACAUACAUUUCAUACAGCUAGGUGAUUUAGAAUGCAAAUCUAAAUUUUAGAUAACAAAAAAAAAAAACGCAAAAAUAUGUACUCUCUAUUUUGUGCUAUAUUGUGUGGUCUACGGCCGCCGACCGAAUCCAUAUUGUUACAUUGUAGCAUACUGUAUAACAGAACUCGGAGCCAGCAGAAACGGAUGGAUAUUCGUGUCUUACUAAUAAAAGUUGUUACAGUGGCUUGUACAAGCAAAAAAUGGCAUAAAAUAAUUGAUUUAAACCUUAUGAUGAAAAGUUUUUGGGUUCUUUCAUUUUAUGAGCAACUAAUUAAAUUCUUGUGUUGCUAUUUGAAUAUCAUAAACAGAUACGUGUGAAUUUGGUGACUUCUUAAUAAAGCUUUUGCAUAGUCUUACAUGUGAAGAAAGACUUGUGAAAUUAUGGUGAAUAAUUUUAAGAAGUUUAUUGGAUUUGUCAAAAAAAGAGCAAGGAAAUCAAUACUUAUUUUGAUUUAUUUUUUCAAUGUAUAAAUACAAAUUAAUUUGGGGACUUUCUAAUAAAGCUUUUGCAUUCGCUUACAUGUGAACAAAGACUAGUAGAAUAAUGUUGAAUCAUUUUGAGAAGUCUUUUGGUUUUGUGAAAAAAGAGCAUAGAAAUCAAUACUUGAUUAUCUCAAUAAUACAAAUUGCUCUAUAGUUUCAAAAAAAAAAACUGAUUUUUGAAGGCAAUUUAUCGCAAUCUU